rnacentral:rRNA from 1 species
AGCGAACAGGAUUAGAUACCCUGGUAGUCCACGCCGUAAACGAUGAGUGCUAAGUGUUAGAGGGUUUCCGCCCUUUAGUGCUGCAGCAAACGCAUUAAGCACUCCGCCUGGGGAGUACGGUCGCAAGACUGAAACUCAAAGGAAUUGACGGGGGCCCGCACAAGCGGUGGAGCAUGUGGUUUAAUUCGAAGCAACGCGAAGAACCUUACCAGGUCUUGACAUCCUCUGACAACCCUAGAGAUAGGGCUUCCCCUUCGGGGGCAGAGUGACAGGUGGUGCAUGGUUGUCGUCAGCUCGUGUCGUGAGAUGUUGGGUUAAGUCCCGCAACGAGCGCAACCCUUGAUCUUAGUUGCCAGCAUUCAGUUGGGCACUCUAAGGUGACCGCCGGUGACAAACCGGAGGAAGGUGGGGAUGACGUCAAAUCAUCAUGCCCCUUAUGACCUGGGCUACACACGUGCUACAAUGGGCAGAACAAAGGGCAGUGAAGCCGCGAGGCUAAGCCAAUCCCACAAAUCUGUUCUCAGUUCGGAUCGCAGUCUGCAACUCGACUGCGUGAAGCUGGAAUCGCUA